rnacentral:misc_RNA from 1 species
GAUGAAGAACGUAGCGAAAUGCGAUAAGUAGUGUGAAUUGCAGAAUUCAGUGAAUCAUCGAAUCUUUGAACGCACAUUGCGCCCCUUGGUAUUCCAUGGGGCAUGCCUGUUCGAGCGUCAUUUGUACCUUCAAGCCUUGCUUGGUGUUGGGUGUUUGUCUCGCCUCUGCGCGCAGACUCGCCUCAAAACAAUUGGCAGCCGGCGUAUUGAUUUCGGAGCGCAGUACAUCUCGCGCUUUGCACUCAGAACGACGACGUCCAAAAGUACAUUUUUACACUCUUGACCUCGGAUCAGGUAGGGAUACCCGCUGAACUUAAGUAUAUCAAUAAGCGGAGGA